rnacentral:rRNA from 1 species
UACGAAGGGGGCUAGCGUUGCUCGGAAUUACUGGGCGUAAAGCGCACGUAGGCGGUUCGUUAAGUCGGGGGUGAAAUCCUGGAGCUCAACUCCAGAACUGCCUUCGAUACUGGCGAUCUCGAGUUCGGGAGAGGUGAGUGGAACUGCGAGUGUAGAGGUGAAAUUCGUAGAUAUUCGCAAGAACACCAGUGGCGAAGGCGGCUCACUGGCCCGAUACUGACGCUGAGGUGCGAAAGCGUGGGGAGCAAACAGG